AACGCAUAUUGCGCCUCUCGUUAGGGAGGCAUGCCUGUCUGAGCGUCGAUUAAACCAAUAAGUCCCCGCGACUUGUCUUGGGCCUCGCCCCCCGGGCGUCGCCUCAAAGUUAGGAACCUGGAGCGGAUGUGAUUCCUCGUGAACUGGCCGCUGCGGUGAAAACUUUUGACUUUGGACCUCAGAUCAGGUAGGACUACCGCCUGAACUUAA
rnacentral:misc_RNA from 1 species